GUAAAAUGGUUGAUAUUCACUGUGGUCAGCUGAAUCAGCCUUAGUUUUACAUGAUUGGAUUAAAAGCCCUGGACUGGCACAAUCUGAAGAACUGCCUCAAGGGGUGUCAGAGCUGUGUUACAGGCAAAUUGCUUUGAGAGGGGGAGAGGGGAAUGUUAGAUAAGUUUCAAGUCUUUGUGUCUUUUAUUGAUGCUUAGGAUUUAUACUUUAUUGGUUCCAACCUUGAUGUGAAAUGAAAAAUUAUCCAAACUGGCUCUGUAAUAGGUGUGGAGAAUCAACAAAUAGCCAGGAUAGCAAACAGCAAAGGAUAGCAGUGGUGCAUUGCUGAGGAAAACAUUGGAAGGAAUGCAAACCAGCACCAUGGGCUUGUAGGAGCUCCCUCCACAUCUUUUAGGGCAACCUUAUUCCAACACUCUAUUGAGGAAGGGCAAGUGUAAAGAUCAGCAAAGCCCCACCUAAUGUGUGAGGCUGCAGCUGUGAUGCAGCAGGCAGCAAGGCUAAUGAUGGCUUUGCAGCAGUGCUGUAUGCUAUAGAAAAAUGCAUCUGCCCUCAGCACCGAUGAAACUAGGUCACCAGGAGCAUUUCCUCCUCCACUAUCGUUCUGUGUCUGAACAUGCAGAAACUGCAGCGUACAAGUUUCUGCUGAACUGUGGGACAAACCCAUCUCAUCCAGCAAGGAAACUAGAGGUAACUGGAGUAAAACUAGCGUUGGUGGGAUGAGGAGAGAAAGGAGUGCGAAUACGUGGUUAUCUCGUGGGGAAAGACAGAGAUGAGUGAUGUGCAGCCUGCAGAAAGCUAGAAGGGAGAGGUGAGCUGGUGGUUUUGCAAAACCAAAGGCUGAAGGCCUUGUGGUCGCUUAUUGUGGGAGACACCAAGCAGGAUACCUGCCGGCAGCUCAGGUGUCAGCCUGUCUUCCCACACGCCAUCACAUCUCUCGGGAUGCUCUGCCCUUCCUCUCCGUAGAACCAGCUCCACCAUGUGGCUGCUUCGCUCAGUUUGCAGCUGCUGGAACGAGUCAUGCGAUGAGCUGCUUAGAACUGCUCUGCGGGAGCUGCCCCAGAAACGUCUUCUGAAGGGAGUUUCCCACCCUUCAUCCUGACGCCCACCUGGAGAAAAGACCCUAUUCAAAGAGGAUUUUGCAUCUUUUCUCACAAUUAAAGAACUCCAGGGUGAACAGUUGCCCCAGAAUAUAAGUGUUGCAUUUGUGGAAUGCUAAUGGUUGACUGUGUUGUGCACUCCAUAGCAGAAUGGAGCUGUGUACUUCGCUUGUAGAAAGGAGUCUAGGCACCAGCGUUCACAUCUAGUAAGCUACUUCUACAGCAUUUUUGGAGCUAGAAAUCAAGAGAAUCAGAAUAGGAAGUAUUUUAUUAUUUAGUAAUUACAAUGAACUUUGCAAAGAAUUUGGUCUCCAUACACCAUUGUGCUCCAUCAUUGUGCACUGCCAACCAUGCCCUGGGUGUGUCAGGCCCAGCACUGCCACCAGGUGAGGGGAGGGGCUGUCCUCUCUGCUCUGCGCUGUGCGGCCUCACCUCCAGCACUGGUUGCAGUUUGGGUGCCACAAUGUAAAAAGGACAUAAAACUGUUAGAGAGCAUCCAAACGAGAUGGUGAAGGUUCUAGAGGGCAAGACGUAUGAGGAAUGGCUGAGGUCCCUGCGUUUGUUCAGCCCAGAGCAGAGCAGCUGACUGGAGGCCUCAUGGCGGCUGCAGCUCCUCACAGGGA
rnacentral:lncRNA from 1 species